rnacentral:rRNA from 1 species
UACAGAGGUCUCAAGCGUUGUUCGGAUUCAUUGGGCGUAAAGGGCGUGUAGGCGGUCCGGCAAGUCGGCUGUGAAAGCCCUGGGCUUAACCUAGGAAGUGCAUUCGAAACUGCCGAGCUGGAGUUCUGGAGAGGAAGGCGGAAUUCUCGGUGUAGAGGUGAAAUUCGUAGAUAUCGAGAGGAACACCGGUGGCGAAGGCGGCCUUCUGGACAGAAACUGACGCUGAGACGCGAAAGCGUGGGGAGCAAACAGG